CCCAGCAAGUAGCUUGGCACAGAAUAUUCCUGUAUCCCGUAUUAGAUGAGCCAACAUUUUCUAAUUCACCUUUUCACUUGGACAUCUGCUACACAAAACAUAUGGCUCUCUCUGAGAAAAUCUGGAGUCCAGAUUUUUGCAGUGAAUUACAGAGCCUGCAAAAAUUCAAGUGGAUGAGAUGACACAAGGACAUGAAUACUAAGAAAUGUGUCCCAUUGGGCUGUAGAAAAUUAUUUUACAGACUGAUUAUCACUGGUACAAUAAGGGAUACAACUACAAAAGUGUUUACUACUGUUUAUAUUAAGAGAAAACAGCAAAAAAGAAGGCAACCAGAGGAACCUGGCUGUUGUCUGAAUUAUGAGCUAUUUACAAAAUAUUAUUUUGCAAUAUUUCAAUAUGUUAUUACAGAUGUAUAUGUAGAUUUAAUAUUUA
rnacentral:lncRNA from 1 species